ACAUGCUAAAAAGCUCCCUUUACGGGGAGCUGUAUUUGCCGGACAUCAACCAACGCAGGGCAACCUGUUUUUAAGGCGAUUCACGGUAACUGUCUAAUCGUAUGACCUUGAGUCGACGAUGAUUCAUUAAAGUUUCUGCCCUAUCAACUUUCGAUGGUAGCAAAGUGGCCUGCCAUGGUGGUAACGGGUAACGGGGAAUUAGGGUUCGGUUCCGGAGAGGGAGCCUGAGAGAUGGCUACCACUUCCAAGGAAGGCAGCAGGCGCGCAAAUUACCCAGUGGCGAUACGCCGAGGUAGUGACAAUAAAUAACAAUACAGAGUCCUUCCGGACUCUGUAAUUGGAAUGAGUACAAUUUAAAUCUCUUAACGAGGAACAAUUGGAGGACAAGUCUGGUGCCAGCACCCGCGGUAAUUCCAGCUCCAAUAGCGUAUAUUAAAGUUGUUGCAGUUAAAAAGCUCGUAGUUGGAUUUCGAACUGGGGUGAGUGAAAGCUUGCCGCGGAUGUUGAGUGCUGGGUGGGUCGAAAGACUCAUCCAGUCUCAAUUCCACCAGUUCUACGCAGAAGGUGGCCCUCUGCUCUUGACUGGGUGGGGGUGUCCGCCUCUUGCCGUUUACUUUGAAAAAAUUAGGGUGUUCAAAGCAGGUUUUACUUGCCUGAAUAGAUUAGCAUGGGAUAAUGGAAUACGGCUCGGCUGCUGUGUUCCGUUGGUUGAGUAGCUGGGCAAUGAUUAAUAGAGAUAGUUGGGGGUAUUCAUAUUUAAUUGUCAGAGGUGAAAUUCUUAGAUUUAUGAAAGAUGAACUUCUGCGAAAGCAUUUAUCAAGGAUGUUUUCAUUAAUCAAGAACGAAAGUUAGGGGAUCGAAGACGAUCAGAUACCGUCGUAGUCUUAACCAUAAACGACGCCGACCAGAGAUCAGUAGAUGUACCCCUGGAGACUCUAUUGGCAUCUUAUGAGAAAUCAUAAGUUUUUGGGUUCCGGGGGGAGUAUGGUCGCAAGGCUGAAACUUAAAGGAAUUGACGGAAGGGCACACCAGGAGUGGAGCCUGCGGCUUAAUUUGACCCAACACGGGAAAACUUACCAGGUCCAGACACAGUAAGGAUUGACAGAUUGAUAGCUCUUUCUUGAUUCUGUGGGUGGUGGUGCAUGGCCGUUCUUAGUUGGUGGAUUGAUCUGUCUGGUUAAUUCCGAUAACGAACGAGAUCUCUGCCUGCUAAAUAGUUGCCGACACCGUCUAUACGGGUGAAGUGAG
rnacentral:rRNA from 1 species